ACGAAGGUCGACUUGGGAGGUUGUGCCCUUGAGGCGUGGCUUCCGGAGCUAACGCGUUAAGUCGACCGCCUGGGGAGUACGGCCGCAAGGUUAAAACUCAAAUGAAUUGACGGGGGCCCGCACAAGCGGUGGAGCAUGUGGUUUAAUUCGAUGCAACGCGAAGAACCUUACCUGGUCUUGACAUCCACGGAAGUUUUCAGAGAUGAGAAUGUGCCUUCGGGAACCGUGAGACAGGUGCUGCAUGGCUGUCGUCAGCUCGUGUUGUGAAAUGUUGGGUUAAGUCCCGCAACGAGCGCAACCCUUAUCCUUUGUUGCCAGCGGUCCGGCCGGGAACUCAAAGGAGACUGCCAGUGAUAAACUGGAGGAAGGUGGGGAUGACGUCAAGUCAUCAUGGCCCUUACGACCAGGGCUACACACGUGCUACAAUGGCGCAUACAAAGAGAAGCGACCUCGCGAGAGCAAGCGGACCUCAUAAAGUGCGUCGUAGUCCGGAUUGGAGUCUGCAACUCGACUCCAUGAAGUCGGAAUCGCUAGUAAUCGUGGAUCAGAAUGCCACGGUGAAUACGUUCCCGGGCCUUGUACACACCGCCCGUCACACCAUGGGAGUGGGUUGCAAAAGAAGUAGGUAGCUUAACCUUCGGGAGGGCGCUUACCACUUUGUGAUUCAUGACUGGGGUGAAGUCGUAAGGGGAACCCCCAAAAAAGGGG
rnacentral:rRNA from 1 species